rnacentral:rRNA from 1 species
UUCCAGACUCCUACGGGAGGCAGCAGUGGGGAAUAUUGCACAAUGGGGGAAACCCUGAUGCAGCGACGCCGCGUGAGUGAAGAAGCAAUUCGUUAUGUAAAGCUCUAUCAGCAGGGAAGAAGAUGACGGUACCUGAGUAAGAAGCCCCGGCUAACUACGUGCCAGCAGCCGCGGUAAUACGUAGGGGGCAAGCGUUAUCCGGAUUUACUGGGUGUAAAGGGAGCGUAGACGGCAGUGCAAGUCUGGAGUGAAAGGCGGGGGCUCAACCCCCGGUCUGCUCUGGAAACUGUACGGCUGGAGUGCAGGAGAGGUAAGUGGAAUUCCUAGUGUAGCGGUGAAAUGCGUAGAUAUUAGGAGGAACACCAGUGGCGAAGGCGGCUUACUGGACUGUAACUGACGUUGAGGCUCGAAAGCGUGGGGAGCAAACAGGAUUAGAUACCCCAGUA